CAGGCAACCAAUCGACGCCCCGCGAGGAGGGGAGGAGCCAGGAUGCGGGUGGGAAGCCUGCCGGGAAUUGUAGUCCUGGCCUGCCUGGGGUCUCUGACCCGCGGACACCAGACCUGCAAGGAGGGUCACUGGGUCCGACCCCGCCGAUGCCCUUCAGAAAUCUGAGGGGAAAUGGAGAGCCCGAGCCGCGAAACGAUCAGUCAGCUCACCCCUGAGGGUUUUCCAUUGCCUUCUCCUGCUCAUUUUUACAGAUGAGGAAACAGGAAGGAGAAGGGAACAAAAGAGCCAUUAUACAGUGUCAAGGAGCACAAGAUCAAAAAGGACCAAACCAAUCCAGGUAGAAGAUGAACUUCUAUGCCAAGAAAAUAAGACUUAAACUUGUUUGGGUUUUAAGGUUGCAGAUGUUUGACAUAUGUCAGAGGCAGGUCUUCCUUGUCCUACAUUUUAACAAGCACCUCACUUUGGCUACCCUCCUGGCUCCCAUAAAUCUAGUCCCUUUUCUGUCUUUCAUAGUGUGGCAAACUUUCUAUAGUCUUGGCUACUGACUGAGUAAGUGCAUAAUUACAUAAAUCACUUUGAUUGGUUCUUGAUUCAAGAACCUGUUAUAGGUUUAUUUUCCUUUACUUAGAAUUUUUACACAUAAGUCUUUGAUAUUCUAUAUUUCAUCCAGAAGUUAUUUUUUCUCUUUUAUUUGGAUUUUUUGAUGUUUUUUAUUUCUCUUGCUAAUUGAUUUUCAUAUGCCUCAUAACUCAGCCAUGUAUCCCCUAAGUGAUCCCUUUGUUUUUCAACAUCCUCCUCAGGGGUGUUAUUGUGGGAUUGUUAAGGGGAAAUAACAAGAGGGAAACAAAUAUUUUAAGUUUAUUGUUGGAAAGGUUGAGAGGAAGGAGGGUAAAAAAGGUAAGGGAAGGUUCUUAAAUCUUAACCCCAAAACUUCAUUCCCAUAAAACUAUCUUAAUGGCUAAAUUAUCUAUACUAAAUAAACUAAGUUUCCCCAAACACAAUCUCACAAAAUAGAGUGCAGUAUAUGAACUAAGAUCCCAGGAGAAAAUGUCCAAAGUAGGUCCAGUAGAGAAGUGGUUCUUUGGUCUUCUGUCCAGCUGCCAGCAGCCAGUCCAAGAAGGAUUUCUCUCACUCAAGUUGGUAUCUUCCAAAGGGCCAGAAACCUGGUAGACAGAUGGAAAAUCUCCAAUCUCUCAAAAGCCUUCUUCAGGAGAGAGUUAUGUGUUGGGACCUUGGAAUCUUCACCCAGCUCUUGACUCAGGCUCCCAUGUGAUUCUGUCACAUGUCCCCAUCAAUCAAUUGGAAGUUCAUAUUGCAAAGUCCUUUUGCAAUCUUCCUUUACUUAGUACGGGGGGGGGGAUGUAUUAUUACUCUAAAUUGCAAUGUUUAAAUUCUUUUUGAGAGUAAUUUUAGGUUAAGAAACAUGAUACCUCUCUGAAACCAGAAAGUGAACUGUUUGGAGAAGACACCAUGAAGAUGCCUCCACAGACCACACAUUGCACCAGAAGAUCCAGAGUGAACUUUGGGAUGUGGUGAUUUGAACUGUGUGGGGUUGAAUGCAUUUGUUUUGUAUGUAUAUUCUUAUGCUGAAGGGGACUGCCCCCAAUUGACUUUUUGUCAAUGUGCCUAGCAAUCAUUGUUUUUGCUCUCUUUUCCUUUUAUCCCCAAAUUAUUGUAACUUAAAAGUUGGUUAUGUUUAAAAGAUCCAUUGGAGAGACCAGUCUUCCAUUAGAUCUCAGGGAGGAAUGUAAAUAGAAAUCUGUUACCCUAAAAACUACAUUUCCCAGGAGCCCAUUGACUUCCUAUCAUUCUGUACUUCCUGUAGGCAGGGGGAUAUAUGGGGUGGGGUUUCCGGUCGCUUGCUCUUUACUUCCUGGGUUGUGACAGUGAUGGUAAGAGGGGGUUUUGAAUAGGUUGAUUAGCCACGGGUAUGUGGUUUUUGUUACCUUUUUAUUCCUCUAUUUAUAAUAUUAAUAAAUUUCUUAAAAUAUUCAAAUUAUUAUACAUUAAUUU